AGGCGCGUAGCUCAGUUGGGAGAGCGCAGGCUCGACACGCCUGAGGUCAGGGGUUCGAUCCCCCUCGUGCCUA
rnacentral:tRNA from 6 species